rnacentral:rRNA from 1 species
UACAGAGGUCUCAAGCGUUGUUCGGAUUCAUUGGGCGUAAAGGGUGCGUAGGUGGCGCCGUAAGUCGGGUGUGAAAUUUCGGAGCUUAACUCCGAAACUGCAUUCGAUACUGCGGUGCUUGAGGACUGGAGAGGAGACUGGAAUUCCUGGUGUAGCGGUGAAAUGCGCAGAUAUCAGGAGGAACACCGGUGGCGAAGGCGGGUCUCUGGGCCGAAACUGACGCUGAGGAGCGAAAGCGUGGGGAGCAAACAGG